CCUACGGGGGGCAGCAGUGGGGAAUAUUGCACAAUGGGGGAAACCCUGAUGCAGCGACGCCGCGUGAGCGAUGAAGGUUUUCGAAUCGUAAAGCUCUGUCCUUGGAGAAGAUAAUGACGGUAUCCAAGGAGGAAGCACCGGCUAAAUACGUGCCAGCAGCCGCGGUAAUACGUAUGGUGCGAGCGUUGUCCGGAAUUAUUGGGCGUAAAGGGUACGUAGGCGGUUUAUCAAGUCAGAUGUUAAAGCGUGGGGCUCAACCCCAUAAAGCAUUUGAAACUGAUAAACUUGAGUAGUGGAGAGGAAAGUGGAAUUCCUAGUGUAGCGGUGAAAUGCGUAGAUAUUAGGAGGAAUACCAGUGGCGAAGGCGACUUUCUGGACACAAACUGACGCUGAGGUACGAAAGCGUGGGGAGCAAACAGGAUUAGAUACCCGAGUAGUC
rnacentral:rRNA from 1 species